UAUUAGUAUAUAUAUACUAAAUUUUUUUUUUGAGAGAUAGAUAGCACGUUGUUUCGUUUAUUUCAUUUAGAAAUAAACUUAGCUAGAAAUGUGAAUCAACUAGGAUUCAAACUUGGAACCUCAUGUACCAACCACCAAGCUCUUUGUCACUUACUCAAGGGACGGUCGGUAGCAUAUACUAAAAAUUAAGUACACAUAAGGGUAGUUCUAGG
rnacentral:lncRNA from 1 species